ACCACCCGGUCCUGCCUUCGCUUUCCUGGCUCGAUGUGGGCGUGUUUAUAUGUAUAUACAUAUUUUUUUCCCGCUCGGCCACAGCAGCAUCAGUUGGGGUUCCCGAAGGUCAGAAAAUGGCUAUUGAUUAAUCUAUUAGAAUAAUUGCCGAGAGAAAUAAAAAAGACGUAAAAUAACAGGGAACCUAUAAAUAAAGAAGCCUAACUAGCUGCUCGGAGUUGUUAAACGACUUAGCAUGUGAAAAAGUCGGAAAUGAGGCGCUGGGGAAGGAGCCGGGAUUGUCAGCGGCCUGGGGCAUAGACAAACCCUCCAAGAUUUAACUUCCUCAGAAACCAGCAACAGAGGAGGUGGAGGAGGAGGCGAGGAUGCGGCCAGUGAGCACCGAGUUUCUUUGGCAAGGAAAGUCAGUGAUGCUGCACCGCUUUGUGGCCCGCAGACUCCGAACCGUUUACAAUACCACCUAGACAGCUUCCAGCGAAACCGACCGGAGCGGCGAGCUGGCCGCCCACCGACCACCCCCCCGCCCCCGGCAGCGGAGGUCCCGGCUGCAACUGUCCCAGUAAACCAAUAAUUACAAAAGGAAGGUCGGAAGGACACGAAAAAGAAACCGAAAUUCGCAAAUUCACAAAUCCCUUUUGCUCAGCUUCGGUUGUACAGCCCCAGAGGCAGGCGCGGGCCGCAGCAGGAGCCCUACCGCAGCCUACGAGGCUGGGCCCGCGUGGACGCGUGCGCGCGCGCGCGUGUGUGUGUGUGUGUGCGUGCGGGAGGGUGGCGGCUCCGUGGGCUGCCCUCCGCAGUGUUCUUGAAGUAUCCUCCAAAUGAGCCUAAUUUCGAUUUCUCUGCCCGCCAGGGCUGGCUCUCAGGACUCCCUCGGCGCCGCUGUCUCUGCCUCUCAGCCUCCCUCGGCCAAGACCUGGCUCAAUCCGUCCAUUCCCCGGUGUCUCUGGAACCUCCCUGGGGGAAGGGGUGGGAGGUGAACAACUCCCAGCCGCCAGUUCCAUUUGUUGCGCUUUUAUCCUUCGAC